rnacentral:rRNA from 1 species
AAUACUACUGACUGACCGAUAGUGAACCAGUACCGUGAGGGAAAGGCGAAAAGAACCCCUGUGAGGGGAGUGAAAUAGAACCUGAAACCGUGUACGUACAAGCAGUAGGAGCAGGCUUUGUCCUGUGACUGCGUACCUUUUGUAUAAUGGGUCAGCGACUUAUAUUCAGUGGCAAGGUUAACCAUCUAGGGGAGCCGUAGGGAAACCGAGUCUUAACUGGGCGUUCAGUCUCUGGAUAUAGACCCGAAACCAGGUGAUCUAGCCAUGGGCAGGUUGAAGGUUGAGUAACAUCAACUGGAGGACCGAACCGACUAAUGUUGAAAAAUUAGCGGAUGACUUGUGGCUAGGGGUGAAAGGCCAAUCAAACCUGGAGAUAGCUGGUUCUCCCCGAAAGCUAUUUAGGUAGCGCCUCGGACGAAUACUACUGGGGGUAGAGCACUGUUAAGGCUAGGGGGUCAUCCCGACU